GUUUAGUCUGUGUCUAGAACUAGCUUUAGAUGUUUAGUCUGUGUCUAGAACUAGCUUUAGAUGUUUAGUCUGUGUCUAGAACAAGCUUUAGAUGUUUAGUCUGUGUCUAGAACUAGCUUUAGAUGUUUAGUUCAGAACUAGCUUUAGAUGUUUAGUCUGUGUCUGGAACUAGCUUUAGAUGUUUAGUCUGUAACUAGCUUUAGAUGUUUAGUCUGUGUCUAGAACUAGCUUUAGAUUUUUAGUCUGUGUCUAGAACUAGCUUUAGAUGUUUAGUCUAGAACUAGCUUUAGAUGUUUAGUCUGUGUCUAGAACUAGCUUUAGAUGUUUAGUCUGUAACUAGCUUUAGAUGUUUAGUCUGUG
ensembl:lncRNA